UUUGAGGAAAGGUAAGUUGAUAAGUCACUAAAUUCGUCAGGUCCGGAAGGAAGCAGCGAAAGUGAUUUUGUCACUGUACUUUUCCUCUUUUUU
rnacentral:SRP_RNA from 1 species